GCUGUUUUACGUCCUCCACCUCGGGAGCCCCCGGUGACUGUCACAGCCUCUUGCCCUGUGAUCUGCAGGUUCUGGGAGACGCACAGCUAAGAUGCCAGGACAUCCUGGAAGCUGGGAAAAGUUUCACUCUCGUUGCCCAGGCUGGAGUGCAAUGGCGUGAUCUCAGCUCACUACAACCUCCACCUCCCAGGUUCAAGGGAUUCUCCUGCCUCAGCCUCCCAAAUGGAGUUUCACUCUUGUUGCCCAGGCUGGAGUGCAUUAUCCCAAUCUCGGCUUACUACAACCUCCGCCUCCCAGGUUCAAGUGAUUCUCCUACCUCAGCCUCCUGAGUAGCUGGGAUUACAAGCACCUGCCACCACACCCGGCUAAUUUUUUGUAUUUUUAGUAGAGAUGGGGUUUCAUCAUGUUGGCCAGGCUGGUCUCGAACUCCUGACCUCAGGCGAUCCACCCACUUCCCAAAGUGCAGGGAUUACAGGUGUGAGCCACCACGCCCGGCCUCUCAACCUAUCAACCUAAUUUUUAUUCUUAGUAGACACGUUGGUGGUGAGCCAAUCAGAUGUUGUUAUUGAUGAGAAAAAGCAGAAAUGAUUUCUGUUGAUUCUUGAAAUAAAAUUUUUUCCAAAGGACAAGAAGCUCCCAUCCCAGUAAGGCAAUGCAAGAACCUGAAGCAAAAUGCACCUGAGGCUUACAGUGGGGUACAGUACAGUGUCUCCUGGGAAGGUGGUCACUAAUUUAAUGGGCAGGGUGGGGAU
rnacentral:lncRNA from 10 species